CUCCUACGGGAGGCAGCAGUGGGGAAUUUUGCGCAAUGGGGGAAACCCUGACGCAGCGACGCCGCGUGGAGGAUGAAGGUUUUCGGAUUGUAAACUCCUUUUGUAGGGGAAAAUAGUGAUGGUACCCUACGAAUAAGCCACGGCUAACUCUGUGCCAGCAGCCGCGGUAAGACAGAGGUGGCAAGCGUUGUUCGGAAUUACUGGGCUUAAAGGGCGCGUAGGUGUCCUGGCAAGUCAGAUGUGGAAGCUUCUUGCUUAACGGGAAAAUGGCAUUUGAAACUGCCGGGAUUGAGUCAGACAGGGGAUGGCGGAAUUCCUGGUGUAGCGGUGAAAUGCGUAGAUAUCAGGAGGAAGGCCGGUGGCGAAGGCGGCCAUCUGGGUCUGAACUGACACUGAGGCGCGAAAGCUAGGGGAGCAAACAGGAUUAGAUACCCUGGUAGUCCUAGCCGUAAACGUUGGGCACUAGGUGUGGCGGAUUCAUUGACAUCUGCCGUGCCGUAGCUAACGCAUUAAGUGCCCCGCCUGGGGAGUACGGUCGCAAGGCUAAAACUCAAAGGAAUUGACGG
rnacentral:rRNA from 1 species